GAAGAAAGAGGGAGGAGGGAAGAAUACAUGUAAGUCGAACGCAUUUUCUUUCACCGUAGAUUGCUAUAAAGAAAGAAAAUGAGUGGAGAAUGGGUGAGUAAAAAGUGGGUAAUCUGCUAAUCAGAGGGGGAUAAUACUUGGAAACAGGUGCUAAUACCGCAUAAUUCCAUUUACCGCAUGGUAAAUGGAUGAAAGGCGCUUUUGCGUCACUGAUGGAUGGACCCGCGGUGCAUUAGCUAGUUGGUGGGGUAAGGGCCUACCAAGGCUGCGAUGCAUAGCCGACCUGAGAGGGUGAUCGGCCACACUGGGACUGAGACACGGCCCAGACUCCUACGGGAGGCAGCAGUAGGGAAUCUUCGGCAAUGGACGCAAGUCUGACCGAGCAACGCCGCGUGAGUGAAGAAGGUUUUCGGAUCGUAAAACUCUGUUGUUAUAGAACAACAAGGAUGAGAGUGGAAAGUUCAUCCCUUGACGGUAUCUAACCAGAAAGCCCCGGCUCCCUACGUU
rnacentral:rRNA from 1 species